rnacentral:rRNA from 1 species
GAUGAACGCUGGCGGCGUGCCUAAUACAUGCAAGUCGAACGAAACUUCUUUAUCACCGAGUGCUUGCGCUCACCGAUAAAGAGUUGAGUGGCGAACGGGUGAGUAACACGUGGGCAACCUGCCCAAAAGAGGGGGAUAACACUUGGAAACAGGUGCUAAUACCGCAUAACCAUAGUUACCGCAUGGUAACUAUGUAAAAGGUGGCUAUACUACCGCUUUUGGAUGGGCCCGCGGCGCAUUAGCUAGUUGGUAGGGUAAAGGCUUGCCAAGGCAAUGAUGCGUAGCCGAAUUGAGAGGUUGAUCGGCCACAUUGGGACUGAGACACGGCCCAAACUCCUACGGGAGGCAGCAGUAGGGAAUCUUCCACAAUGGGCGAAAGCCUGAUGGAGCAACGCCGCGUGGGUGAAGAAGGUCUUCGGAUCGUAAAACCCUGUUGUUAGAGAAGAAAGUGCGUGAGAGUAACUGUUCACGUUUCGACGGUAUCUAACCAGAAAGCCACGGCUAACUACGUG